rnacentral:rRNA from 1 species
GACGAACGCUGGCGGCGUGCCUAAUACAUGCAAGUCGAGCGCAGGAAGCCGUCUGAACCCUUCGGGGGGACGACGGUGGAAUGAGCGGCGGACGGGUGAGUAACACGUAAAGAACCUGCCCAUAGGUCUGGGAUAACCAAGAGAAAUCGGGACUAAUACCGGAUGUGUCAUCGGACCGCAUGGUCCGCUGAUGAAAGGCGCUCCGGCGUCGCCCAUGGAUGGCUUUGCGGUGCAUUAGCUAUUUGGUGGGGUAACGGCCCACCAAGGCGACGAUGCAUAGCCGACCUGAGAGGGUGAUCGGCCACACUGGGACUGAGACACGGCCCAGACUCCUACGGGAGGCAGCAGUAGGGAAUCUUCCACAAUGGACGAAAGUCUGAUGGAGCAACGCCGCGUGAACGAUGAAGGCUUUCGGGUCGUAAAGUUCUGUUGUAAGGGAAGAACAAGUGCCGCAGGCAAUGGCGGCACCUUGACGGUACCUUGCGAGAAAGCCACGGCUAACUACGUGCCAGCCGCCGCGGUAAGAC